rnacentral:rRNA from 1 species
UAGAGAGGGGGCUAGCGUUGUCCGGAUUUAUUGGGCGUAAAGAGCGUGUAGGCGGCCAGGUAGGUCUGGUGUGAAAACUCGAGGCUUAACCUCGAGAUGUCAUCGGAAACCAUUUGGCUAGAGUCCGGAAGAGGAGAGUGGAAUUCCUGGUGUAGCGGUGAAAUGCGCAGAUAUCAGGAAGAACACCAAUGGCGAAAGCAGCUCUCUGGGACGGUACUGACGCUGAGACGCGAAAGCGUGGGGAGCGAACAGG